UCCCUCCACAUUAAGGAACACGCAUUUAGAGGAUUUGGCUGAUAUAUAUUGACACGUGAUAAGCCACUUCGUUGGGCUCUCACUUGUGGGCAAGGUGGCUUCUAAGAAAAAGAGCUGAAUAGGUACAGUGAGCCUUACCUGGUAAAAUAAGAAAAAAUAAUUAUCAUUGUUUAUAUUAGAAUUAGUUCAUUAAGCCUGUCUUUGCCAGACAAAAGUUUUCAAUAAAUAUAAAAAUGAACCUGAUGUUUUUUUUUUACAAUUUUUUAUCUAUGAUCAGACACUAACACCUACUAAAAAAAUUAGGUAUUUUCCGCAAAAAAACACAAAUGUGUUGACAACUUGAUUCAACUUCUUAUAUUUAAAGACGUACCCAUCAGAAAUCGCUCAAUUUAAAGAUUACGUUCUUUUUUAUUAGAAAGAACACAAAAUUAUGAACUUUAUAUUCUAUGAGGGGAAGCUCCUAUCUUUUACCGUUUUGGAAUUAUUCAGAUUUGAACAUCAUAACAUGUGUUAUUUUUUCAUUCAAAACCACUUGAAUCCGAAAUGUCUCAAAAACAAUAAAAGAUAUAAUUUUAUUGCUGUUUAACGUUCUAUCAAAAGAAAAAAACCCGCAAUGUUAUAUUUUGAACGGUUUCUGCUGAAUGACACGAACAAACAUGUUUAUUGAGUGCUUAAAAUAGAGAUUUGGGGGCCUUAAAAUAAAAAAAAUCUCGAAUAUUCAGAUUGUUUCUCCUGCUAUUUGUGUCAUAAAAGUUACCUGGGUAGCACAUUUCAGCUUCCUACCUUGUCGGAAAGUACACUAGAGCUUUUUGAUACAUACAGGUUAAAUAUCUUUAUUUAUGUAGAUAGUUUAUAUUAUGAUAAUUUACAGUCCUGUUACAACGUAGGUCACAAGGUAAAUCCCCAAUCGCGGCAAUUGCAACACAAAAGAUAAACUGAAAACAUUCGGUCGGAACAUUGCUUGCGUGAUAAUUUAAGCUGCAUGCAGCAGCAGACGGCAUGAGUAUGCGCACUGGUGAUUGAAAAGCCAUCGGUUUGUGCGGAAUUACUGAACCUCUUCCACUGGACACCGACGGCCAUCCAUGCGCUCUGCUUGAGUGCUCGUUCUCUCCAGUAUCACAUUCACUUUGAACAUUAUUUUACAAAUACAACGGCAUGUGCCUGUAUAAUUGCCCUUGUUGUGUGUCUUCUCUGUGUGACUGCAGCACAUGCGACAAUGCUGAGCUGCUUUGCGAAAUACCAGAUGGAUGCUGUUACCACGAACAACUGUACGAGCUGGGCGCCUUCAUAUCAAGAGAAUUAGACCCCGAUCAGUACCGCGCGACCACCAAAACUUGCUCGCAACUCGGGGAGGUGGAAGACUCCUCCGUGGAGUGCGGGAUAACUCCCAUCGACGUGAACAACGCCACCACCACCACCACCGCCGUACCGCCGCUCCCAACCGAGCCACCCAUCGUCGGCUCGAGCACAGCUGUGCCCGACGUGGCUCCGACGCAACCGCCCAAGGGGACGGACGACCACGGUGGGCGCUCCGGUUGAAGGUGCCACCGUGCAGCAGCCAACAGCGACGACGAGCGUGAGUCAAGUGCCCUGCUCAGGAAGCUGGUCUGAGUGGUACAGCGAACAUUCUCCGGACGCCGACAACGAUGGCGACGAGGAGUCGUACCAGAAGGUCACAGCCUCGGGGAAAGUUGUCUGCGCACCGGGAUUCUUGGUGGAAAACAUCGACUGCCGUGCGGACAAAUACCCGAACACACCAUGGGAGGAGUUGGGCCAGGCAAUCACUUGUAACAAGGACGUGGGGUUGAAAUGCUCACACACGGAUCAGACCAUGCCAUUCUGCUACAACUACAAGGUCAGGUUUUGCUGCUCGCUGAUUUCGCCAGCAACCACUGCUCCUCUGUCAACAGCACCGACAUCCCCAGUGCCAGAUGAAGAAAUCAUCAUUCCACCAGUUGAAGCCACAAGACCACCUGGGCCAACCACAAAAAAUGUGACACCGAAACCCCUGGUUGAGGAAAAGCCAACAAAACCAGCUCCAGAAGAGAGUGGUGCUCCUCCUCAAGAACCAACUGGACCGAAGGACAAGACACCCCCACCUCCAACCUCCGGCAGCAAGGAGCCAGAACUCACCCUCAGGAGGGCCAGUGACACCAAAAUCCCCGGUAGAGGAAAAGCCAACAAAGCCAGCUCCAGAAGAGAGUGGCGCUCCACCUCAAGAACCAACUGCACCGAAGGACAAGACACCCCCACCUCCAACCUCCGGCAACAAGGAGCCAGAACCUUCACCCUCAGGAGGGCCAGGUGUGUUCAUUUUGUUAGAUUAUAUAGAUGUAGUGGAGUAAACAAUACGCAUAGGAAUUGGCCACAUACAGUACAUACAGACAGACAUGGAGGACGGGUC